AGAUAGAGGCGCGGUGUUCAUCAGUAGCCGCCGUCACAUGCGCGGGUAACGCAGACGGUAGUGAAAGGGGCCAUCGCCGAAGGGCAGCCGAAUUCCCGUCAGGCUGUGCCUGGGCCGUCGGAGAAAAUCCGCCGGACUGUCGCAGAAAUGCGGAGAGCUGUCG
rnacentral:ncRNA from 1 species